GAACUGAGACACGGUCCAGACUCCUACGGGAGGCAGCAGUGAGGAAUAUUGGGCAAUGGAGGAAACUCUGACCCAGCCAUGCCGCGUGAGUGAAGAAGGUUUUCGAAUUGUAAAGCUCUUUCGGAUGGGACGAUGAUGACGGUACCAUCUAAAGAAGCCCCGGCAAACUUCGUGCCAGCAGCCGCGGUAAUACGAAGGGGGCAAGCGUUGUUCGGAAUUACUGGGCGUAAAGGGUGUGUAGGCGGAUUUGUAAGAUAGUGGUGAAAUACCUGAGCUCAACUUAGGAAUUGCCAUUAUAACUAUAGAUCUGGAGUGACAGAGAGGAUAUUGGAAUACCCAGUGUAGAGGUGAAAUUCGUAGAUAUUGGGUAGAACACCAGUGGCGAAGGCGAGUAUCUGGCUGUCAACUGACGCUGAGGCACGAAAGCAUGGGGAUCAAACAGGAUUAGAUACCCUGGUAGUCCAUGCUGUAAACGAUGAAUGCUAGUUGUCGGCAAAAGCCGGUGACGCAGUUAACGCGAUAAGCAUUCCGCCUGGGGAGUACGGUCGCAAGAUUAAAACUCAAAGGAAUUGACGGGGACCCGCACAAGCGGUGGAGCAUGUGGUUUAAUUCGAUGCAACGCGAAGAACCUUACCAACUCUUGACAUCCUCAUCGGGGCUUUCAGAGAUGAGAGCUUUCAGUUAGGCUGGAUGAGUGACAGAUGCUGCAUGGCUGUCGUCAGCUCGUGUCGUGAGAUGUUGGGUUAAGUCCCGCAACGAGCGCAACCCCUGCUACCAGUUGCCAUCAAGUAAAGUUGGGCACUCUGGUGGGACUGCCGGUGACAAGCCGGAGGAAGGUGGGGAUGACGUCAAGUCAUCAUGGCUCUUACGAGUUGGGCUACACACGUGCUACAAUGGCAACUACAGAGAGGAGCUAAGUCGUGAGGCUGCGCCAAUCUUAAAAAGUUGUCUCAGUUCGGAUUGUUCUCUGCAACUCGAGAACAUGAAGUUGGAAUCGCUAGUAAUCGCGGAACAGCAUGCCGCGGUGAAUACGUUCCCGGGUCUUGUACACACCGCCCGUCACGCCAUGGGAGUUGGUUCUGCCUGACGGCGUUGAGGUAACCUGAGCAAUCAGGAGCCUGGCGACCACGGUAGGGUCAGCGACUGGGGCGAAGUCGUAACAAGGUAGCCGUAGGGGAACCUGCGGCUG
rnacentral:rRNA from 1 species